CACCUCCGCCGUGCAGCUGGUGGAGUCCGGAGGGGGCCUCCAGACCCCCGGGGGGUCCCUGCGCCUCCCCUGCAAAGGGCCCGCCUAAAAACACCUUCAGCAGCUACGCCAUGGUUUGGGCACGACAGGCACCCGGGAAGGGGCUCGAAUACGUCGCGGGUGUUACCAGCAGUGGUAGUUACACAUACUACGCGCCGUCGGUCAAGGGACGCUUCACCAUCUCCAAGGACAACGCCCAGAGCACGCUGACGCUGCAGAUGAACAGCCUCAGGGCCGACGACACGGCCACCUACUACUGAGCGAAAAAUGCUGAUGCUG